rnacentral:rRNA from 1 species
CCAUGUGACCUACCCAUGAGCAGGUUGAAGGUGCGGUAAGACGCACUGGAGGACCGAACCAGGGCACGUUGAAAAGUGCUUGGAUGACUUGUGGGUAGCGGAGAAAUUCCAAACGAACUUGGAGAUAGCUGGUUCUCUCCGAAAUAGCUUUAGGGCUAGCGUCGACAUUAGAGAUUCUUGGAGGUAGAGCACUGUUUGGGUGAGGGGUCCAUCCCGGAUUACCAAUCUCAGAUAAACUCCGAAUGCCAAUGAAUUAUGGUCGGCAGUCAGACUGCGAGUGCUAAGAUCCGUAGUCGAAAGGGAAACAGCCCAGACCACCAGCUAAGGUCCCAAAAUAAUUGUUAAGUGGAAAAGGAUGUGGGGUUGCACAGACAACUAGGAUGUUAGCUUAGAAGCAGCUAUUCAUUCAAAGAGUGCGUAAUAGCUCACUAGUCGAGUGACCCUGCGCCGAAAAUGUACCGGGGCUAAAACAAUUUACCGAAGCUGUGGAUACCUUUAUAGGUAUGGUAGGAGAGCGUUCUAUGUGUGAUGAAGGUAUACCGUGAGGAGUGCUGGAACGCAUAGAAGUGAGAAUGCCGGUAUGAGUAGCGAAAGACAGGUGAGAAUCCUGUCCACCGUAAGACUAAGGUUUCCAGGGGAAGGCUCGUCCGCCCUGGGUUAGUCGGGACCUAAGGAGAGACCGAAAGGUGUAUCCGAUGGACAACAGGUUGAUAUUCCUGUACUAGAGUAUGUAGUGAUGGAGGGACGCAGUAGGCUAACUAAAGCAGACGAUUGGAAGAGUCUGUCUAAGCAGUGAGGUGUGAAUUGAGUCAAAUGCUUAAUUCUAUAACAUUGAGCUGUGAUGGGGAGCGAAGUUUAGUAGCGAAGUUAGUGACGUCACACUGCCAAGAAAAGCUUCUAGCGUUUAAACAUACUCUACCCGUACCGCAAACCGACACAGGUAGUCGAGGCGAGUAGCCUCAGGUGAGCGAGAGAACUCUCGUUAAGGAACUCGGCAAAAUGACCCCGUAACUUCGGGAGAAGGGGUGCUGACUUUAAGUCAGCCGCAGUGAAUAGGCCCAAGCAACUGUUUAUCAAAAACACAGCUCUCUGCUAAAUCGUAAGAUGAUGUAUAGGGGGUGACGCCUGCCCGGUGCUGGAAGGUUAAGAGGAGUGCUUAGCGUAAGCGAAGGUAUGAAUUGAAGCCCCAGUAAACGGCGGCCGUAACUAUAACGGUCCUAAGGUAGCGAAAUUCCUUGUCGGGUAAGUUCCGACCCGCACGAAAGGCGUAAUGAUUUGGGCACUGUCUCAACGAG